rnacentral:sRNA from 1 species
GCUGGGUACCCUGUGGUGCGCCUGUAAUCCCAGUGGCUUAGGAGGCUGAGGCAGGAGGAUCCCUAGUUCGAAGUCAGCCUCAGCAAACUUAGGAAGGCCCUAAGCAACUCAGUGAGACCCUGUCUCUA